GCGUAGGCGGGAAGCCAAGUCUGAUGUGAAAUCCUAUGGCUUAACCAUAGAACUGCAUUGGAAACUGGUUACCUAGAGUAUGGGAGGGGGAGAUGGAAUUAGUGGUGUAGGGGUAAAAUCCGUAGAUAUCACUAGGAAUACCGAARGCGAAGGCGAUCUCCUGGAACAAUACUGACGCUAAGGCGUGAAAGCGUGGGGAGCAAACGGGAUUAGAUACCCCGGUAGUCCACGCCCUAAACGAUGUUCACUAGUCGUCGGGAUGCUAGUCAUCUCGGUGAUGCACUUAACASAUUAAGUGAACCGCCUGGGGAGUACGGUCGCAAGAUUAAAACUCAAAGAAAUUGACGGA
rnacentral:rRNA from 1 species